rnacentral:rRNA from 1 species
GAAGGUAUGCCCUCUAAGGUUAAGGACUUGCUCCGUAAGCCCCGGAGGGUCGCAGAGAAUAGGUGGCUGCGACUGUUUAUUAAAAACACAGCACUCUGCCAACACGAAAGUGGACGUAUAGGGUGUGACGCCUGCCCGGUGCCGGAAGGUUAAUUGAAGAUGUGCAAGCAUCGGAUCGAAGCCCCGGUAAACGGCGGCCGUAACUAUAACGGUCCUAAGGUAGCGAAAUUCCUUGUCGGGUAAGUUCCGACCCGCACGAAUGGCGUAACGAUGGCUACACUGUCUCCUCCCGAGACUCAGCGAAGUUGAAGUGGUUGUGAAGAUGCAAUCUACCCGCUGCUAGACGGAAAGACCCCGUGAACCUUUACUGUAGCUUUGCAUUGGACUUUGAAGUCACUUGUGUAGGAUAGGUGGGAGGCUUGGAAGCAGAGACGCCAGUCUCUGUGGAGUCGUCCUUGAAAUACCACCCUGGUGUCUUUGAGGUUCUAACCCAGACCCGUCAUCCGGGUCGGGGACCGUGCAUGGUAGGCAGUUUGACUGGGGCGGUCUCCUCCCAAAGCGUAACGGAGGAGUUCGAAGGUUACCUAGGUCCGGUCGGAAAUCGGACUGAUAGUGCAAUGGCAAAAGGUAGCUUAACUGCGAGACCGACAAGUCGGGCAGGUGCGAAAGCAGGACAUAGUGAUCCGGUGGUUCUGUAUGGAAGGGCCAUCGCUCAACGGAUAAAAGGUACUCCGGGGAUAACAGGCUGAUUCCGCCCAAGAGUUCAUAUCGACGGCGGAGUUUGGCACCUCGAUGUCGGCUCAUCACAUCCUGGGGCUGUAGUCGGUCCCAAGGGUAUGGCUGUUCGCCAUUUAAAGUGGUACGUGAGCUGGGUUUAAAACGUCGUGAGACAGUUUGGUCCCUAUCUGCAGUGGGCGUUGGAAGUUUGACGGGGGCUGCUCCUAGUACGAGAGGACCGGAGUGGACGAACCUCUGGUGUACCGGUUGUAACGCCAGUUGCAUAGCCGGGUAGCUAAGUUCGGAAGAGAUAAGCGCUGAAAGCAUCUAAGCGCGAAACUCGCCUGAAGAUGAGACUUCCCUUGCGGUUUAACCGCACUAAAGGGUCGUUCGAGACCAGGACGUUGAUAGGUGGGGUGUGGAAGCGCGGUAACGCGUGAAGCUAACCCAUACUAAUUGCCCGUGAGGCUUGACUCU